rnacentral:rRNA from 1 species
UACCAGCUCUUCGAGUGGUGUGGAUGUUUAUUGGGCCUAAAGCAUCCGUAGCUGGCUGGGCAAGUCCCCUGUUAAAUCCACCGAUUUAAUCGUUGGAGUGCGGGGAAUACUGUUCGGCUAGGGGACGGGAGAGGCAGACGGUAUUUUCGGGGUAGGGGUGAAAUCCUAUAAUCCCGGGAAGACCACCAGUAGCGAAGGCUGUCUGCUAGAACGCGCCCGACGGUGAGGGAUGAAAGCUGGGGGAGCGAACCGGAUUAGAUACCCGGGUAGUCCCAGCUGUAAACGAUGCAGGCUAGGUGUUUGGGCGGCCACGUGCCGCUCUAGUGCCGCAGGGAAGCCGUUAAGCCUGCCGCCUGGGGAGUACGGCCGCAAGGCUGAAACUUAAAGGAAUUGGCGGGGGAGCACCACAAGGGGUGAAGCUUGCGGUUU